AGCUUUGCCCAGUGGCAGCAUUGUAGCCAAUGAGGUUUACCUGAGGUACAAUUAUUGCUAAUUGAAAACUUUUCCCAAUACCCCUCCAUGACGACUUGAAAUAUAGUCAGCACUGGCAAUUUUUGACUGUCUCUACAGAGA
ensembl:snRNA U4 U4 spliceosomal RNA